rnacentral:lncRNA from 1 species
AGAAGUCAAAGAAGAAGAUAGCUGCUGCAGCAGAAAAAGAAUCAUCAUCUGAGGGGGAGCCAAAAGAUGAUGAUCACAUGAUCGCAGAGUCUGAGGGAGAGCAUGAUCAGAACGAUGCUGAAGGGGAGCUAAGCAAAGACAGAAGGUCAUCAUCCCAUGGAGAGCAAGAGAAAGGAGAACAAACAGAUGAGUAGCUGAUCAAAAGAC